rnacentral:rRNA from 1 species
UGCUGACGAGCGGCGGACGGGUGAGUAAUGCCUGGGAAUAUACCCUGAUGUGGGGGAUAACUAUUGGAAACGAUAGCUAAUACCGCAUAAUCUCUUCGGAGCAAAGAGGGGGACCUUCGGGCCUCUCGCGUCAGGAUUAGCCCAGGUGGGAUUAGCUAGUUGGUGGGGUAAUGGCUCACCAAGGCGACGAUCCCUAGCUGGUCUGAGAGGAUGAUCAGCACACUGGAACUGAGACACGGUCCAGACUCCUACGGGAGGCAGCAGUGGGGAAUAUUGCACAAUGGGGGGAAACCCUGAUGCAGCCAUGCCGCGUGUAUGAAGAAGGCCUCGGGUUGUAAAGUACUUUCAGUUGUGAGGAAGGCGUUGGAGUUAAUAGCUUCAGCGCUUGACGUUAGCAACAGAAGAAGCACCGGCUAACUCCGUGCCAGCAGCCGCGGUAAUACGGAGGGUGCGAGCGUUAAUCGGAAUUACUGGGCGUAAAGCGCAUGCAGGCGGUCUGUUAAGCAAGAUGUGAA